rnacentral:rRNA from 1 species
ACCAGCAGCUAGAUCACCCUGCAUCUUACACCUGGAAACCCACUGAAACUAAGUAGGUAUGAGCCUGGCCAGUACCUGGAUGGAAGACCUCCUGGAAAAGCUAAGGUUGUUGCUGGAG